UACAGAGGAGCCAAGCGUUGUCCGGAUUGACUGGGCGUAAAGCGCACGCAGGCGGUUUGGCGCGUGGGGGUGUGAAAUCUGGCCGCUUAACGGCCAGGCGCAUCCCCAUACGGCCCGGGCUGGAGCCUUGCAGAGGUCGGUGGAAUUGCCCGGUGUAGUGGUGAAAUGCGUAGAGAUGUGGAGGAACACCAAUGGCGAAGGCAGCCUCUGGGCCAACACUGACGCUCAUGCACGAAAGCGUGGGGGAGCAAACAGG
rnacentral:rRNA from 1 species